rnacentral:rRNA from 1 species
AACGACUCUCGGCAACGGAUAUCUCGGCUCUCGCAUCGAUGAAGAACGUAGCGAAAUGCGAUACUUGGUGUGAAUUGCAGAAUCCCGUGAACCAUCGAGUUUUUGAACGCAAGUUGCGCCCAAAGCUUCUGGCUGAGGGCACGUCUGCCUGGGCGU